CCUACGGGAGGCAGCAGUGGGGAAUCUUGCGCAAUGGGCGAAAGCCUGACGCAGCAACGCCGCGUGCGGGAAGAAGGCUUUCGGGCUGUAAACCGCUUUCAGCAGGAACGAAAAUGACGGUACCUGCAGAAGAAGGAGCGGCCAACUAUGUGCCAGCAGCCGCGGUGAUACAUAGGCUUCAAGCGUUGUCCGGAUUUAUUGGGCGUAAAGAGUUCGUAGGCGGUCGAGUAAGUCGGGUGUGAAAAUUCUGGGCUCAACCCAGAGACGCCACCCGAUACUGCUUGACUUGAGUUCGAUAGGGGAGUGGGGAAUUCCUAGUGUAGCGGUGAAAUGCGCAGAUAUUAGGAGGAACACCGGUGGCGAAGGCGCCACUCUGGAUCGAUACUGACGCUGAGGAACGAAAGCAUGGGUAGCAAACAGGAUUAGAUACCCUGGUAGUCCAUGCCGUAAACGGUGGGCACUAGGUGUGGGUUUCUAUUAACGAAAUCCGCGCCGUCGCUAACGCAUUAAGUGCCCCGCCUGGGGAGUACGGUCGCAAGACUAAAACCUCAAAGGAAUUGACGGCUGGAGACGNGCCGACGCGACGACGAGGAGUAGG
rnacentral:rRNA from 1 species